rnacentral:misc_RNA from 1 species
AAAAAAAAAAAAAAAAAAGCUUUCCAAGGACUAUUGCAAUUAUUAAUUCCUAAAUCAUAGUUUCAAACUAAGUUCAAGGUGCAGAUGAAGUAUAAACCAUAUACUCAUUACUAGUAUCCUUAUCAUCAUAACAAGAAAGAGUUCAGAGAACAAGAUUUUUGUAUGAUAUACUUGAUCUGAACUAGAGUUGACCUAAAAUGUUAGAUGUAUGGAGCAUAUCAAAGUCCAAUCAUAUAUGAUUUCUGACUAAAUAGUUCCAUAGUAGCAAAAGAGAACAGAGAAAUUAAGCAUGCUUCCGGCCCAAACAAUUAACAGAUUUCUAAGAUAAUUCUGAGACAAACAAAUGCUCAACUAAGCUAUUCAUUGAAUCAUUGCAUAUCCUAUCAUAUCAUGUCAUCCAUAUCAGUAAGUGCUGAAGGCUGCAGCUAUCUUUAGAGUGCAAAAGUUCUGAACAUUCCUUUACACAAGCAGCUAUCAGCAGUCGAAGGUUAAAGUGAAAGUAAACACAAUAUAUGAAAAAUUGUCAAUUUCAAUGACAAUAAAUAGUUAGAAAACUUACAUAUUGACUAAUCAGCACGAU